rnacentral:snoRNA from 1 species
AUGAUUGUAAUUGCAAUUGUGAUCGCGAUUACGUUUAUAUGACGAGGCUAUCGAUGAUUACCAACUGCCGUUCAGCGUUGUGGCAGCUUUCAUAAAUUUUGUUUCAGACUUUCACGCCUGAUAUU